GUCUCAGGCCGUAUCAGCCUGAAGGCGCCCGAUCUCGUCUGAUCUCGGAAGCUAAGCAGGGUCGGGCCUGGUUAGUAUCUUGGAUGGGAGACCGACCUGGGAAUCCCGGGUGCUCGAGGCU
ensembl:rRNA 5S_rRNA 5S ribosomal RNA